UCAUGUCACUUGGGUACUUCGCACGGCAACACCUGCCCCUUCUCUCUCUCUCUCUCUCUCUCUAGACUCUGAAGUCUUCUUCUCAGUCACUACACACAUGCAACUCAUCUCUGGUCUGUUGUAUUUCGAUGCCGUUCUCUUUGCCAAUACACAAUUUGAAUCGAGUUCUGUUUCGAUGCUUAAUUAGAGGAAGUGAAAUUUAAGUUAUUGUAAAAGGAAAAGGGAUUUGAAGAAUAAAUGGCUUACAAUAGAAAGGGGUCUGAUCCGCAACCGCAGAGGCGGAUUUUGCGGACUCAGACCACGGGGAAUUUAGGGGAGACAAUGAUGGAUAGUGAGGUAGUUCCAUCAUCACUGGUCGAGAUUGCUCCGAUUCUACGGGUCGCUAAUGAAGUUGAGCCCAGCAACCCCAGGGUGGCCUAUCUUUGAUCAAUGGGUUUCAUCAAUAAUAUUCUAUAGACAACGCUUGCAAUUGGAAAAAAAUAUAAUAUUUUUGGUUUUUAUAUAAUUUAGUCUGUCAAUCGGAGCACUUUAUUUUGUUUCUAUAAUUUCCCUAUUUCAUUUCUGAAAAUAAAUUUAAACCGUUAAUAUUAGGACUUCCAAUGAUUGAAAUAUAUGAGGAACAACUUUAUUAUU